ensembl:lncRNA
GGAUGAGAUGGUUGGAUGGCAUCAGUGACUCAGUGGACAUGAGUUUGAGUAAACUCUGAGAGUUGGUGAUGGAUAGGGAGGCCUGGUGUGCUGCAGUCCAUGGGGUCGCAAAGAGUCGGACAUGACCAAGCGACUGAACGGAACUGAACUGAGAGACCUCUUUGCCCAGAAGAAAGUGGUGACGGGGGAAUGCAUCUAGUGCCCUGGCAAUGCAUUACUGACCCUCUGUUCUAGGUUUUGGGACACAGAGUGAAGUCUGCUCAGAUCCAUCUGUCUCCUUACUAUUUCAACCAAUAUACUCCCUCCUACAAAAAGUAUGUCUUCAGAAAGUGCACUCAGGUUGGAAAAGUGUGGAAAGAGCAGAUGAACUUAUUGUCAGUGGCCAUAUGAUCCCUCACUGUUCAUUGUCUUCAUCACUAAGU